GUGAGAAACGUGCCUUUCUCUACGGAAUAGCUUUUGGAAACGAAAGGUAAUACCGUAUACGCCCUCCGGGGGAAAGACUUAUCGGUGAAAGAUCGGUCCGCGUUACAUUAGCUAGUUGGUGAGGUAAAAGCUCACCAAAGCGACGAUCUAUAUCUGGUCUGAGAGGAUGAUCAACCACACUGGGACUGAGACACGGCCCAAACUCCUACGGGAGGCAGCAGUGGGGAAUAUUGCACAAUGGGCGCAAGCCUGAUGCAGCCAUGCCGCGUGAAUGAUGAAGGCCUUAGGGUUGUAAAAUUCUUUCGCUAGGGAUGAUAAUGACAGAACCUAGUAAAGAAGCCCCGGCUAACUACGUGCCAGCACCCGCGGUAAUACCAAGGGGGCUAGCGUUGUUCGGAAUUACUGGGCGUAUAGCGCACGUAGGCGGACUUUUAAGUCACAUGUGAAAUCCCGAGGCUCAACCUCGGAACUGCAUUUGAAACUGGGAGUCUAGAGAUCAAGAUAGGUUAGCGGAAUACCGAGUGUAUAGGCGAAAUUCCUAUAUAUUCCGUGGAACACCAGUGGAGAAGGCGGCUAACUGGACUGAUACUGACGCUGAGGUGCGAAAGUGUGGGGAGCAAACAGGAUUAGAUACCCUGGUAGUCCACACCGUAUACUAUGAGUGCUAGAUGUCUGCAGGCAUGCCUGUAUGUGACGCAGCUAACGCAUUAAGCACUCCGCCUGGGGAGUACGGCCGCAAAGUUAAAACUCAAAGAUAUUGAC
rnacentral:rRNA from 1 species